rnacentral:rRNA from 1 species
GAUGAACGCUAGCGGCAGGCCUAAUACAUGCAAGUCGGACGGGAUUGAGGAGCUUGCUCCUCAUGAGAGUGGCGCACGGGUGCGUAACACGUAUGUAACCUACCUUAAUCAGGGGGAUAGCCUCUCGAAAGAGAGAUUAACACCGCAUAAAAUCACACUAUGGCAUCAUAGAAUGAUCAAAUAUUUAUAGGAUUAAGAUGGGCAUGCGCAACAUUAGCUAGUUGGUAAGGUAACGGCUUACCAAGGCUACGAUGUUUAGGGGAUCUGAGAGGAUGGCCCCCCACACUGGUACUGAGACACGGACCAGACUCCUACGGGAGGCAGCAGUAAGGAAUAUUGGUCAAUGGGCGGAAGCCUGAACCAGCCAUGCCGCGUGCAGGAAGACGGCCUUACGGGUUGUAAACUGCUUUUAUACGGGAAUAAACCUACUUACGUGUAAGUAGCUGAAUGUACUGUAAGAAUAAGGAUCGGCUAACUCCGUGCCAGCCGCCGCCGUAAAAC